rnacentral:rRNA from 1 species
UACAGAGGUCUCAAGCGUUUGUUCGGAUUCAUUGGGCGUAAAGGGUGUGUAGGUGGCGCGCUAAGUCGGGUGUGAAAUUUCGGAGCUUAACUCCGAAACUGCAUUCGAUACUGGCGUGCUUGAGGACUGGAGAGGAGACUGGAAUUCCUGGUGUAGCGGUGAAAUGCGUAGAUAUCAGGAGGAACACCUAUGGCGAAAGCAGGUCUCUGGGCCAUCACUGACGCUGAGCUGCGAAAGCUAGGGGAGCAAACAGG